ACUAUCUUGUCAAUAUAAUAGACUAUCUUUGUUAAAACAGUUUUUACUCCUGCAUCCAUCUUGGAUCUAUCACUCAGUCUGGUGGAUUCGCAACCAUUCUUAUUAGUGUGCAAUUGUAGAGUGCACUUUCUGAUAUAGGCAUUUAGUUAUAUCAAGUUAUACCCAUUAAUGCUCGCAAUUGAUCCGUGGCUGUUUCUUGUCUUUUUAUCAACGAAGAAGAAAGCUGCAGUUAGAAUAGAUUUCGACGAUGUCGCCGUGUAUAUUCCCCCUCAAGCCGACACCAUGAGGGCUAUCAAGGAACUACACCGGACGUGUGAAAAAUGGAAAAUGCAUCUCCUGGGCUCUUGACUAUUGCCCUCCCACGCCCUCCCUUUCGACAAAUCAGAUCACGGCUCCAUUCUGCUGACCAAUCGGAAUCUUUGCAAGAUUGUUUUGAUCAUGUGGACCGUGAUAUCUUCCGGGUCUCUGAGAAUAUCAUUGACAUACAGUUGAAUUCGGAAGUUUACAUACACUUAGGAGAUAGAUAUGGAGAUCGGGAAAGUGAUUGAGGGCGCGGCCCAGUUUGCGAUCUCUGACCCUGAGCUGCCAUUGGACGAGCUCUGCAACCACAUCUUCUCCAUUGAUCCGCAGGACCAAACCCUGGGUCAUUCUAAAGUCUGUCAGCUGGACACAUACACACCUGGACCAAACUACAGUCCAUCAGCAACACAUCCCCUCUGACCCUAUGCGACACCAAACCUGGGUGAAAGUCUACUCCUCUUUUCUUCUUUCUCUCGUUCCCUUCUCUCAUUAGUUAUCUAAAUGCAGAAUAAGAGAUGAAAUUGUCGCCGUGUAGGUCAGAGUUCAGUCUUUAGCAGCACUCCAAACCAGUUCCUCACCUCUGACACUGAUGUCACUGGUAUUUAUUCACAAUAUGUACUAUAUAGCAUAUAAUAUGUAGUUUUAUAUUUAUGUCAGAGUUGGUAUAUUAUAUAUUAUGUUAUAUCUGGAGUACUUCUCCUGUCCUAUUCGGUGUCCUGUGUGAAUCUAAGUGUGCGUUCUCUAAUUCUCUCCUUCUCUCUUUCUUUCUCUCUCUCGGAGGACCUGAGCCCUAGGACCAUGCCCCAGGACUACCUGACAUGAUGACUCCUUGCUGUCCCCAGUCCACCUGGCCGUGCUGCUGCUCCAGUUUCAACUGUUCUGCCUUAUUAUUAUUCGACCAUGCUGGUCAUUUAUGAACAUUUUAACAUAUUGGCCAUGUUCUGUUAUAAUCUCCACCCGGCACAGCCAGAAGAGGACUGGCCACCCCACAUAGCCUGGUUCCUCUCUAGGUUUCUUCCUAGGUUUUGGCCUUUCUAGGGAGUUUUUCCUAGCCACCGUGCUUCUACACCUGCAUUGCUUGCUGUUUGGGGUUUUAGGCUGGGUUUCUGUACAGCACUUUGAGAUAUCAGCUGAUGUACGAAGGGCUAUAUAAAUAAAUUUGAUUUGAUUUGGUAUAUAUUCUCCUGAUAAUAAAGGAUCUGUCUGUGAAUGGGA